CAGUCUCACCACACAAAUUUCAGAUUGUCUGCUGCUUCAGUCCGUCCCUCCUGGUGAGGGUGGAGUCGACUUAAAUGCAGAGGCCCAGUUAUUGGACUGGAUCAAGACAUGCAUUAGCAUGGGGGGGAGAUUUCAUACAACCAAUAAAUCUCACACAAAGAAACCCCCCCCCCCCCAUGCUAAUGCAUCUCUUGGUCCGGUCCAAUCACUGGGCCUCAGCAUUUAAGUCGCCUCCACCCUCAGUCAGACCUUUUGGCCAAACCAGGAAGGAAGGACUGAUGCAGCAGACACACGGUAACUCAAAGACAAGGAGAAUCGUAUAUUACAACAGAAAAAAAAACAAUGUUGUGCCCUUGUUUAGGAAAGUGCAGUGUCAAAUAACAAUAAACAAGAUCCUAAAGGAAAAUUGACUGUUUGUUUUGUGGCUCCGAACAAAGAUUUUGCUUCCUGGUUGUCAUGUGCUGCUGUUUUGUUGAAACAUCUCCUCAUACACAGCUCACUUUGUGCAAGUUCAAGCAUCCCUUACUGGAUUGAAGCUGUAGCCUGCAGGCGGACACUCAACAUGUCCUUGAUGACCAAACCUCAGUCUGCUGCUUUGAUUUUCAUAAUUCUGAACUUGGUUUGAACUCCAACAUUCUUAGUGUCUUUGCUUUGGGGCGCAACCAGUUUGUUUUAAGAGCAGACUCAUUUCUACUCACUUGAUUCUCAAGCCUCAAGACAAACGGAGAACAGGGGCCUCAACUGUAAAUCUUUCAGCUAAAAUUGUAAUUAUUAGGCGACAGUGUUGUGAUUUUGAAGCCGACAUGAAAUCCUUUAGCUGUAAAAAGUAAUUCAAUGAAAAAUGACUGCUCUGGGAGUUUUUUUAAAAGUGGCUCAAGACCUUCAAGACCUUUAAUUUGUUGACACCAUUAAAGAUUUGUGACACACAUUGAUAGUGUUUAUUGUGGAAUUCAAGACAAUUUCAUAGCAUGACUACCACAGUAAUAUUAUAUGGCACGCAAUCCACCAACUGCAAAAAUUCAAGUAGCGUUUUGACAAAAAUCAUAAAUUUCCGAGCAGCAGGUAAUGAGCUGAUCAGGAUCAGGUGUGCCAGGCAGGUAGACCACGCCCACUGCCACACCUGAGCAGGAGGAACUUAGGAAAAACAGAUGAACACAGUCUCACAGUCUGUCCUCCACCAUGAGCCUGACCCUGCGCAGGAACAUCAAGCAUCUCCGCCGUCCUCUUCAACCGGACCAAGGAGCUCGACCUCCGUGCAGAAGAUCUUUGUACAUAAAAAUUGUACAAAGCAACAGUUCAGUAUACGAUGUGACUCGUCACGUCAUAUACUGAACUGUUGUUUUGUAAAAUGCAGAGAGGGACUGUAGUUCAAUUUUAGUGUUGUUGACAGAUAAAAGUUUAGUAUAACCCCCUACUUAUCUUUGUCUCGAGGGGCAGGGGGGCUGACGUUCCCCCGGCAUCAUCACUCCUCAUCCGCAACCUCUCGGGGCCUCCCCCGACUUCAUGACCUUCAUCUGCACACAAUACCACAUCCUGUUAAUACACACAAUCAUGUUCAUAUACUCACCCUCAGCAAUCUUCUCUGGGGUCCCUCCCGACUGUCAUCUCCAUCCGCAGCUCACCCUCUUUACCGACCGGGAUCCGAUACCACUUUGAAUAGGACACGACCGCACCUGAGGCCGUGAACGAACCCACCGCGCCACCCGACGCACUCACUUUGUGGAACGUUUGUUGUACUUCAACUUUGAAUGUGGAGAAUAUUUCCUGAAAAUAUUUAAGUUUCACGUCUGCACCAUUAGUCGUCUAGACAGGGAAGUAUACUGUUCUCUCAGAUGCGUUCCAUUCGCGACUCAUACAAGACUUGAACUCGCGCGCAAGAAUCAAACUUGUGUGUCUGGAUUUGCAUGCAGCUGUUUAACCAGGUGAGCUACUCUACCUGAUGAGUGAUGGCACUGCCCACCCACUCUAUCUGUGUGUGCAUCGAUCUGAAGACCUAAAGUUUUUCUAUCACCUGCAAGAUUUGAAGGUAUCUCUCAGAGUUGAAUUUAUUCACACAAAUCAGAUGUUUAACCAAGUUGGUCCAGUUCUUCACAUUUAAGUUGCUGUCGGCUUCUGAGAGGAAGCACUGAUGAAGUUUCCAUUCAACUAAUGUGUUUUGUACGAUUUAUGUAAAUGAAAACACUGUUAUGAAGUUGACUGAGUGGCUCAGUGAGGUAAAUGUCAGAUUUGAAGUUUUGAGAUUGUUGGUUCAACUCCCAGCUUGUUUGGAGAAAUUUGAAAUUUAUAAACCGAAGUAUACAGUCAAUAUUGGAAGGAAAUAGAAGGUGGACUUAAGAUCAAUCAACUCAGACUGUUACGUGUUAGUUCUGAAACUUUGAAGUGUGCGUUCCAUCUUGAAUUGAACCAACAACCUCAAGAUGUCACGACAGUGAUCGACCUCGCUGAGCUACUCAGCCAGACAGUUGAAAAUUUUCCAGAACUUCUACUUCUACUUCUUCAUUAAAAUCUCAAAUUCAGGCAACUCUGAUGAUACGUGGGAUUCUAGUGAGGUAGAAGUAAAGGGAAAAAAAACAUUUUGGGAGCGAUUGAGUGGCUCAGUGAGGUAAAUGUCAGACUUGAAGUUUUGAGAUCGUUGGUUUGGUUCCCAGCUUGUUUAGAGAAAUUUGAAGUCUAUGACCUAAAGUAUACAGUCAAUAUUGGAAGGAAAUAGAAGGUGGAGUCAAGAUCAAUCAACUCUGACUGUUAAGUGUUAGUUCUGAAACGUUCAAGUGUGCGUUCCAUCUUGAAUAUUGACUGUUUCCUUUGGGUCCUCGACUUCAAAUUUCUCUUAACAAGCCGGUGAUUGAACCAACAACCUCAAGAUGUCGCGACAGUGAUCGACCUCACUGAGCUACUCAGCCAGACAGUUGAGAAUUUUCCGAACUUCUGCUGCUUCACAAAAAUCUCACACUCAAGCAAACUCAACACUUCAAAGAGUUAAGGAAAGUCAGUGGGUUAUGGUCUGUACAGACUAUCACAGAAGCAAGACCAGAAACAAAAUAGACGUCGAAAUGAUGUGAAGCCCAGACCAAAGCCUUGGCCUCCUUUUGAAUGACUGAAUAAUUCAAUUGAUGUGAAUUAGAAACUAACAGGUCUAUCAAUGUUGAGUUCAGUGAGCCUCUGUCUUUGUUCACCACAGAGUGUUGUUGGCCUUUUUCUUGUGGUUUUCUUCCCCUUGUCCUUGUUAGUAUUCUUUAAAAUAGAAGGCCCAGAUUGAUUGCAGUUCAUUCCAUUGGUUCACAAAUGAAAGUUUUAAAUUUUGUGUUAUGUGUUUUGACUCAUUUCUUUUCCUUGAAAUCACCAAUGUAAUGUAUAUGUUGUUGCUGUGAAGUGUUCAGGCUCCCCCCGAGAUUUUGUAAUAUAUAAAUUGAUCUGAUAUACAAUUGUUUUUAAGGCUCUUAUUAAAAACUUAGAAAUAUUUUUAAUAUAGUGAUUAAUUCUCUAUUUGUAGUGUUUAUUAUACCGGAAUUUUCUCAAAUCGUUUGGUCUAUAAAUGGUCAGGUGAAAUUAGCCAUCACAAUAUCUCAAAGUCCAAGGUGGAAACUGUUUUAAAUGUCUAACCCCCACACACUUUCACGAAUAAGUGCAUUCUUUACAUUUGUUACUCAUAUUUGUUUAAUUUUGCCUUACAUGUUUUCUACUGUGUGUAUGGUGUGUGAGUGUUAACCAGUCACUGUAAUCACAUUUAAUCCUCACUUAGCUCCCCCUAGUGGUCAAUGGGAUUUACAGCAGACUGAAAUGUGUAACGAAAAAAAAAAUCAAAUUUGAUAAUAUAGCAGAAUAAACUCAAGUACGUUUCUGGUUGUUUGGACAGUUAAAUAGUUUAUGUUACAGAAACAAACUUCACCCCUGUGGACUCAUUCUUGGUACAUUGCAAGUCGCCGCCCCCUUUUUUCCCUAUACGUUCCAUUGGAAUCCCCCACUUCCGGUUUGCCUGUCGUCAGUUCCGCUAGGAGCCGGCGAACGCGGAACAAAUAUUUGGUGAGAACACCUUCAACUUUGAAUGUGUCGGUGCUGCUCUUUCACUGUUCACAUGUGUUUGAAGGUGAAAACCUGCUCCAUGUGUUUGAAGUGCACAUGAUCUACUGACCCCUGGACCCCGUCAACCCUCAUCCUCAGUUCAUCCGUCUUUACCAUCAAAUCACAAAAAGGGAGCGGGACAAGGGACUUGAUCUGACAACCUUUCGCACAAGAGUCUAAAAUCUUUCCACUGCACCAGCGUCUCUCUGGGAAGGCAUUGGUCCAGUUCUUCACAUUUAACUUGCUGUCGGCUUUUGAGAUGACGAACGGCUAAAGUUUAAGUCAACCUGUUUGUGUUUUGUAUGAUUUAUGUAAAUGUUCAACAUCUUCUCUCAGAAAUAAGUUGAAAUGGCAGUGCUUGCAUUAAAUAUUAUGCAAAGACAUGAAACUUUUAAAGGAUCUCUUGAACAUUUUUGCAGAAAGAUGGAUGAGUAGAGGACUUGACCCAGCCACUCUAAGGUUUAAGGUCAUGGCCAUAAACCACUAGACUACUGAGAAUGUCCAUAUUUAAAAGUCGUUACUCCUAUUUGCCACUUUCCUGAACUGACUGCUCAGUCAAACACCCAAAGUAAACAGUCAAGAUUGAAGCCACACUUCAAAGUUUCAGAACCAACAUUUUCCAGUCUGAGCUAAUUGAUCAGAGGUCCACCAUCCAUUUCCUCCAGAUAUUGAGUGUUAACUUUGGGUCAUUGACUUCAAAUUUCUAAAAGAACAGUCAAUAUAGGAAGAUGGACAUCUGAUCAGUUAGGUCAGACUGUUUAGUAUUAGAUCUGAAGCUUUGAAGUGUGGGUUCAAUCUUGAAUAUUGACUGUUUAAUUUGGGUCAUUGACUUAAACUUUCUCUCAACAAGCUGGGGAUUGAACCAACAAUGUCCAAACUUCAAAUCUGAUAUCUACCUCACUGAGCUACUCAGCCAGCCAGUCAAUAUUUUUUUUUUUUUUACCUUUACUUAUACUUCUUCCUCUUCACAAAAAUCUCAAACAUUGAUCCAUCUACCUCCGAUCUUCCUGUCCAUCAUCUAACAGCUUGAGCCAGUCACAGCCGAGUCAGUGUCUGCAGUCACAACACCCAGAUGAAAGACAUCAUGUACCAUCAGAGUUGCUUGAGCUCGACAUUUCCGUGCAGCACUGGAACUAGAGGUUCAGAGACAUUUGUGAAUGUCUGGCUGAGUAGCUUGGCAAGGUAGAUCACAGACUUUUCAUUUUGAGGUUGUUGGUUCAACCCCCAGCUGGAUUGGAGAAUUUUGAAGUCAAGGAGCCAAAGUUUAAAGUCAAUAUUGGAAGGAAGUAGAAGGUGUGGGUUUAAGUGUGGGUUCAAUCUUGAAUAUUGACUUCAAAUUUCUCUAAAGCAGCUGGGGAUAGAACACACAAUCUCAAAACUCAAAAUCUGACAUCUAACUUACUGAGCUCCUCAGCCAGCCAUUCAAGAAUUCUUAUUUUACAUUUACUUCUACUUCUUCACUUCACUUCCUCACGUAAAGAGCUGGGGAAUUCAAGUCAAGGACCCAAAUUGAAUCAGUGAAGUUGGACACCUGAUCAAAUAGCUCAGCCUGCAAGUGAGGGUUCAAUUCCAAUGACCUUCACAUUAUAAUAUGGAGCGUGAAAACCUCUAAGAGACGCUCAUCAAGCAUCUCAGGUGAUGUUGAAAUGCAAAACCCUUAAUUUGGUCCCUUCUGGGGCUCCAUAAUCCUUUGCGAGUCAUUUUUUUCUCCCAGAGUCGAUCCCAUGGGCAUUUUACAGAAAAGCCUUCAAAGGCUCAGAAUUUGUUUUGUGAAUAGAUGACUUGUUCUUCGUCUGAAAAGAUUUUAUUGAUUGAAUCAUCCUUUUAAAGGUUUGCCCUCAGAAGCAAAAAAGAACCCAGUGUUCACGAGAAUCUGAUUGUCCUGCUUCUCUGCUCGCUCUUUGGAGAAGCUCCUCCAGGUUAAACCAACUUCGGCCAACUGUCAACAGUCUGUCGCGUUGCUAUAGCAACUGCAUUUCAUCCUUCAAACGAGAUGCAACGAAGUUAGGAGUCAAAUUCUCACAGCCUUCCAAAGACAAACGUAGCUGGCGAAAAAAAGAAAGCAGAAAAGACAUUUACAUUAUUUCAAUUCAGGAAAACAAUUUAUCAAAACAGAUAAACGCCGUCGUCUGCUCCCUAUCCCAUGGCCCGGAAUAGUAACCAUCUCUUCUAACAAUUUCUCUGAGAACAACAAUUGCGUUCCGCAUUAAUGAAUGUUCAGAUACCGCAAGUAUAGUGUGCUACUGUCGUGAUGCGGUCUGGGGAUGUUAAUGAAGCCUGUGGAGGGUGCGGGAAAAAAAUUGAAAAUAGUUACAUUAGCCACAACUAAUCCAUUCAAUUCCCAUUAUUUAUUAUUUUUUUAAUACAGGAGGCACAGACAAUGCCUCCUCAUCCUGCAACUGCUUCCUGCAGCUAAAGCUUUUUAGGGGGAAGCCCUAUGGU